rnacentral:lncRNA from 10 species
UCUUCUCCUAGUUUCUUUAUCAUUGUGGACUGACGUUUUUGCAAAGUUCAUUUUCAGUUUCUAUUUUAUUUUUCCAGUGUUGGGGAAAGGUCUCAAGUAAGACAGAGAAGGCAGAAAUUCACCAGCAAAUCCAAACUGGGGAAAUCCCAGAGUUGAAGACAAGAAACUUAAGAAAACCUUACAAAAAGAAACAUGCUUGGGGCUACUCUUGUUUGCUGGUAGAAUGAUCUGUAGAAAAUUCUGAGAUAAGGUGUUAAAAGUAAGAAAAUGCAGGCAUAAUUAUGAUCAGACUGUCAACUUUCCCCUUGUCUAAUGGGAGCCAAAGAAUGAUGUUUUAAUGCUCAGCUUCUAGAUGAAAUAUGUAUUAGCAAACUAUUCUAGGCCUUUAUAUUCCUUUAUUUUUGUUUUCAAAAAUUCCCAUGACAAUAUUCUGGCAUCCAUGCCACAUGAGGAUACAUUUCGUGCCAAAACAAGCUUAGGAAAUCUGCAGUUUAAAGGAGGAAGGUAUGCUGCAGCUGAGAGCAGACGCUUCUAAGGCAUCUUGGGAAGGUUGCAUCUGCAGUCUCAAGAAAUAUUAAAACCUAUUUUAAUGUAGGCAUUGUUCCUGAGAGUAGCUUCAAUAAGCCACGUGGAUGCAAUUAUCCAGCUCAGGGGUUGUUUCUUAUGGAAUCCAACCUAUGACUGUUGACGCCAGGAGUGGUCCUGGGAAGGAGACUCUGAAAAUUUUGGAGCUGGCUGGGAAUAAGAGUCCUGUUGCUGUUGAUAUCUGAGAGCAACCUUCUGCCAGGAUUUGCCCUGCCCACAGGCGUUAGCAUGGACUUGAUGACUGCGGUGUGGCUUUUACUUUCUCAAUUUUCCAGAGCUCAUACUCCUCAAACUCCAGAGGAAUAAGAUGGCCAGCAGUCAGGAAGGAGAUUUGAAUGUGGAGCACAGCAGAGUGAGCACGAGCUGAAACCCUCCAAGCAUAUUUUCAUCACUGUAUUGCCUGUGAACAUCUUCAGAGUGUGAUGACUCCUACUUCCUCUGAAUCUCAUGUGAGUUCCUCUUUUGGCAGCUCUAACUCUAACCUUACAGGAAAGGGGAAUAUAGAAAACACAGUUCCCAGAAAGAACUAGUUCCAACCAGUCGAUUGAACCACUCAGCACAGCUUCUAAAAGAGGACUCCCUGGACUGUUAGGGUCUUGGAAACCAUGUCACACAAAAAUUGUCUCAUGUAACUGAAGAUAAUCAUUCUGGAGAGCAGAGGAUUAAAAAGAGGCAUGCCAUUAAAUAUUAGAAACACUUCUGUGUCGAAGACAAAAAUUGACUUACACCUAUAAAUUCUUCAGAUUUUCUCUCCUAAAUUCUAUGGAAAUGUAUCAAUAUUUUCACUGAUUAAAAUUUUUUUCCCACCUGUUCAAACUCUUCGAGUCUUAAUUAGGAUGGAUGAGUGGAAGUUACAGGGACUCCAAUUUCAAUGCCACAUAAGAGGGAAUGUUCUAACAUCUAGAAUUGUG